GGGAGGUAGUGACAAUAAAUAACAAUACGGGGUCCUUUAGGGUCUCGUAAUUGGAAUGAGUACAAUUUAAAUCUCUUAACGAGGAACAAUUGGAGGGCAAGUCUGGUGCCAGCAGCCGCGGUAAUUCCAGCUCCAAUAGCGUAUAUUAAAGUUGUUGCAGUUAAAAAGCUCGUAGUUGAAUUUCGGGGUUAGCAGGUUGGUCGUGCCACUGGUAUGAACUGGCCUUGCUGAUUCCUCCCUCUUGAUGAGCCGUAAUGCCAUUAAUUUGGUGUUGCGAGGAAUCAGGACUGUUACUUUGAAAAAAUUAGAGUGUUUAAAGCAGGCAAGCGCUUGAAUACAUUAGCAUGGAAUAAUGAAAUAGGACGUUUGAUCUUAUUUUGUUGGUUUCUAGGAUCGACGUAAUGAUUAAUAGGGAUAGUUGGG
rnacentral:rRNA from 1 species